UACGGGGGGGGCAAGCGUUGUUCGGAAUUACUGGGCGUAAAGGGCGCGUAGGCGGCCAUCUAAGUCAGACGUGAAAUCCCUCGGCUCAACCGAGGAACUGCGUCUGAUACUGGAAGGCUUGAAUCCGGGAGAGGGAUGUGGAAUUCCAGGUGUAGCGGUGAAAUGCGUAGAUAUCUGGAGGAACACCGGUGGCGAAGGCGGGUCUCUGGGCCGAAAUUGACGCUGAGGAGCGAAAGCGUGGGAGCAAACAGG
rnacentral:rRNA from 1 species